UACGUAGGGUCCGAGCGUUGUCCGGAAUUAUUGGGCGUAAAGGGCUCGUAGGCGGUUCGUCACGUCGGGAGUGAAAACUCGGGGCUUAACCCCGGGCCUGCAGUGGGUACGGGCAGACUAGAGUGCGGUAGGGGAGACUGGAAUUCCUGGUGUAGCGGUGGAAUGCGCAGAUAUCAGGAGGAACACCGGUGGCGAAGGCGGGGUCUCUGGGCAGUAACUGACGCUGGAGGAGCGAAAAGCGUGGGGAGCGAACAGG
rnacentral:rRNA from 1 species